rnacentral:rRNA from 1 species
UACGGGGGGGGCAAGCGUUGUUCGGAAUUACUGGGCGUAAAGGGCUCGUAGGUGGCCAACUAAGUCGGACGUGAAAUCCCUCGGCUUAACCGGGGAACUGCGUCCGAUACUGGAUGGCUUGAGUGUGGGAGAGGGAUGCGGAAUUCCAGGUGGAGCGGUGAUAUGCGUAGAGAUCUGGAAGAACACCGAAGCGAAGGCAGCGUUCUGGGAGCAACUGACGCUCAUGUGCGAAAGCCAGGGGAGGCGAA